rnacentral:rRNA from 1 species
GAUGAACGCUGGCGGCGUGCCUAAUACAUGCAAGUCGAGCGAACAGACGAGGAGCUUGCUCCUUUGACGUUAGCGGCGGACGGGUGAGUAACACGUGGAUAACCUACCUAUAAGACUGGGAUAACUUCGGGAAACCGGAGCUAAUACCGGAUAACAUGUUGAACCGCAUGGUUCAACAGUGAAAGACGGUCUUGCUGUCACUUAUAGAUGGAUCCGCGCCGCAUUAGCUAGUUGGUAAGGUAACGGCUUACCAAGGCAACGAUGCGUAGCCGACCUGAGAGGGUGAUCGGCCACACUGGAACUGAGACACGGUCCAGACUCCUACGGGAGGCGGCAGUAGGGAAUCUUCCGCAAUGGGCGAAAGCCUGACGGAGCAACGCCGCGUGAGUGAAGAAGGUCUUCGGAUCGUAAAACUCUGUUAUUAGGGAAGAACAAAUGUGUAAGUAACUAUGCACGUCUUGACGGUACCUAAUCAGAAAGCCACGGCUAACUACGUG